UACAGAGGUCUCAAGCGUUGUUCGGAUUCAUUGGGCGUAAAGGGUGCGUAGGCGGCGGGGUAAGUCAGGUGUGAAAUCCCGGAGCUCAACUCCGGAACUGCACUUGAUACUGCCUUGCUAGAGUACUGGAGAGGGAACUGGAAUUUACGGUGUAGCAGUGAAAUGCGUAGAUAUCGUAAGGAACACCAGUGGCGAAGGCGGCUUUUUGGUCUGUAACUGACGCUGAGGCGCGAAAGCGUGGGGAGCAAACAGG
rnacentral:rRNA from 1 species